GGAAUCUAAAGAUAUAUAAUAGCCAUAGCCCUCCUAUAUAUGAUGGUACGUAUUGAACAAAAAAACAGAGUAGAUCAUCACACACGAUCACACGCAUAUGAAAAGCCCAACAUAUCCUAAAGUGCAACUAUUCUAAAUUCAGCAGCACAAAGACACUGAGAUACCAAUAUUUGGACCUAAGGGCUCACAUAUUUUGUGGGAGCAAAACAAAACCAUAGAAGCAACACAAGUCCAUUAGUCUAGCGACCUAUGAUCUGCAGCAAAUUCAUGAAGAAGACUACACGUACCCACUUUGAGUGAACAUGAUGAGCUUCCUACUCUUGCAUGAUUCAUCCAUGAAUGUGAAUGGAUAUUUAGGGUGACUUGUGAUUGUGUAGUCUUGUCUGUAUUACCAUUUUUUACCAUCUCCUCCAGUACAGACUACAGAGUUUGCUGCCACUAGCUAGGGUGCGGAGCCGAAGUUGUUGUCUUGCAGCGCUCCCAUGUAAUUCUCAUAAACCAAAUAUUUAAAGCCAACUUGUCAUCAUACCACUUUAAUUAAGGCUAUCUAGCUAACAUCUCUAGUUAUCUGGAGCAAAACUUUUGCUCCAAUUUCUGGACUAUUAACUAAUGUCGAUGCAUGAACUUAUACCCAGCAGCUUCUUAUGUACUAAGUUCAGUUCUCUUCGUCGAUUUCUAUGUCAGCAAGCACCAGGAAAAUAGAAGACCAGAACCCAAGGAGAGAGAAUGAACAAAAAAGGCAGCCCUUAAUUAAG
rnacentral:lncRNA from 1 species